rnacentral:rRNA from 1 species
AGCAGCCGCGGUAAUUCCAGCUCCAAUAGCGUAUAUUAAAGUUGUUGCAGUUAAAAAGCUCGUAGUUGAAUUUCGAGAUCAAAUUGUCGGUCGUGCCUCGGUACGUACUGGCAUUAUUGAUUCCUCCCUUCUGAAGAACCUUGAUGUCAUUAAUUUGGUGUCUUGGGGAAUCAGGACCGUUACUUUGAAAAAUUAGAGUGUUUAAAGCAGGCUCACGCUUGAAUACACUAGCAUGGAAUAAUGAAAUAGGACGUUUGAUUCUAUUUUGUUGGUUUCUAGGAUCGACGUAAUGAUUAAUAGGGAUAGUUGGGGGCAUUAGUAUUCAAUUGUCAGAGGUGAAAUUCUUGGAUUUAUUGAAGACUAACUACUGCGAAAGCAUUUGCCAAGGAUGUUUUCAUUAAUCAAGAACGAAAGUUAGGGGAUCGAAGACGAUCAGAUACCGUCGUAGUC